rnacentral:rRNA from 1 species
UCUUUAAAUGGGGACUAGUAUCAACGGCAUCACGAGGGUUGCACUGUCUCCUUUUUCUAAUCAGUGAAACUGAUCUCCCCGUGAAGAAGCGGGGAUACAACAAUAAGACGAGAAGACCCCAUGGAGCUUUAAAUCUAACAGCAACUCUACCAUACAAUUCCCCACAACCACAGAGCGUGCAUGUAGAUUUUAGGUUGGGGCGACCGCGGAGUAAAAAUUACCCUCCACGACGAAAAGAGCUAAACCCUUAUCCUAGAGAUACCCCUCCAAGAAUUAGUACACUAACGAACUAUGACCCGAUAAUCGAUUAACGGACCAAGUUACCCUGGGGAUAACAGCGCAAUCUACUUCGAGAGCCCAUAUCGACAGGUAGGCUUACGACCUCGAUGUUGGAUCAGGGUACCCAAAUGGUGCAGCCGCUAUUAAUGGUUC